rnacentral:lncRNA from 1 species
CUCCUAUGUCGCCUCCGCAGGCAUAGACAGAAAUGGGAACUUCUCUUUUGCUCCCCACAAAACAACCAGAGCAUGGAACAUAUGAAGUGAAGAAUAAUAUUUACUGAAUGAAGAAAUGAAUAUAACACUGCAGGCCUAGGUGGGAGCUUCCAGUGCCUCUUGUCAUCAUGCUGCUAUGUCCAGGAAGUGGGAGGUGGCACCAAUGUGUAGCCACCCUGCCUGAGCCCACCAGCCUUGGAGUCAGAACACCCUGGGGUAAAUCCUGGCUCAGCUCUUCUCAGCUAUGUGAUCUCGGCCACCACCACUGAGCCAUGUGGUUAUCCCAUCCAGCCUGCCACCACUGGACUGUAUGUA